UGGAACAAAUUGUUCUCAUCUGCCAAUUCUGUCAGGGGGGAAGUUUUCACAUACUUGAGAGGAUUUCAUCAGAAAUGAGCCACAGCACUAGUGGAAGCUGCGGAAGGAAUGUUGGGAAGACAUUAGUGAAUGCAGAUGUUUGAGUAGAGUAAGGCUCCUAACAUGGGGCCUGAGUUCCUUGCUUCUUAACCCAUCCUGGCAGUCAACAACAAUGGCAAAGCAAACAUAGAAUUUUGUAUGAGGCUGUUCAGGGGGAUCAUUGACAGGAGCCCUGCCCUUGAAGACAAUUGAGAAGACAGAAUAUAUGUGUGAAAAAUACAGAAACUUUUAC